rnacentral:rRNA from 1 species
GGCGAGCGAACGGGGAGCAGCCCAGAGCCUGAAUCAGUGUGUGUGUUAGUGGAAGCGUCUGGAAAGGCGCGCGAUACAGGGUGACAGCCCCGUACACAAAAAUACACAUGCUGUGAGCUCGAUGAGUAGGGCGGGACACGUGGUAUCCUGUCUGAAUAUGGGGGGACCAUCCUCCAAGGCUAAAUACUCCUGACUGACCGAUAGUGAACCAGUACCGUGAGGGAAAGGCGAAAAGAACCCCGGCGAGGGGAGUGAAAAAGAACCUGAAACCGUGUACGUACAAGCAGUGGGAGCACGCUUAGGCGUGUGACUGCGUACCUUUUGUAUAAUGGGUCAGCGACUUAUAUUCUGUAGCAAGGUUAACCGAAUAGGGGAGCCGAAGGGAAACCGAGUCUUAACUGGGCGUUAAGUUGCAGGGUAUAGACCCGAAACCCGGUGAUCUAGCCAUGGGCAGGUUGAAGGUUGGGUAACACUAACUGGAGGACCGAACCGACUAAUGUUGAAAAAUUAGCGGAUGACUUGUGGCUGGGGGUGAAAGGCCAAUCAAACCGGGAGAUAGCUGGUUCUCCCCGAAAGCUAUUUAGGUAGCGCCUCGUGAAUUCAUCUCCGGGGGUAGAGCACUGUUUCGGCAAGGGGGUCAUCCCGACUUACCAACCCGAUGCAAACUGCGAAUACCGGAGAAUGUUAUCACGGGAGACACACGGCGGGUGCUAACGUCCGUCGUGAAGAGGGAAACAACCCAGACCGCCAGCUAAGGUCCCAAAGUCAUGGUUAAGUGGGAAACGAUGUGGGAAGGCCCAGACAGCCAGGAUGUUGGCUUAGAAGCAGCCAUCAUUUAAAGAAAGCGUAAUAGCUCACUGGUCGAGUCGGCCUGCGCGGAAGAUGUAACGGGGCUAAACCAUGCACCGAAGCUGCGGCAGCGACGCUUAUGCGUUGUUGGGUAGGGGAGCGUUCUGUAAGCCUGUGAAGGUGUGCUGUGAGGUAUGCUGGAGGUAUCAGAAGUGCGAAUGCUGACAUAAGUAACGAUAAAGCGGGUGAAAAGC